rnacentral:rRNA from 1 species
CAGCCGCCGCGGUAAGACGAACCGUGCGAACGUUAUUCGGAAUCACUGGGCUUAAAGCGCGUGUAGGCGGAUGGGAGCGUCGGCCUCUGAAAUCCCCCGGCUCAACCGGGGAAGUGGAGCCGAAACGACCCGUCUGGAGGGACGUAGUGGGACCUGGAACUUCCGGUGGAGCGGUGAAAUGCGUUGAGAUCGGAAGGAACGCCCGUGGCGAAAGCGAGGUCCUGGACGUCUGCUGACGCUGAGACGCGAAAGCCAGGGGAGCGAACGGGAUUAGAUACCCGAGUAGUCCCUGUCUCUUAUA